UAGGGAAUCUUCCGCAAUGGACGCAAGUCUGACGGAGCAACGCCGCGUGAGUGAAGAAGGAUUUCGGUUCGUAAAACUCUGUUGUUAGAGAAGAACAGCGCAUAGAGUAACUGUUAUGCGUGUGACGGUAUCUAACCAGAAAGCCACGGCUAACUACGUGCCAGCAGCCGCGGUAAUACGUAGGUGGCAAGCGUUGUCCGGAUUUAUUGGGCGUAAAGCGCGCGUAGGCGGUUUUUUAAGUCUGAUGUGAAAGCCCACGGCUCAACCGUGGAGGGUCAUUGGAAACUGGAAAACCUGGGUGCAGAAGAGGAAAGUGGAAUUCCAUGUGUAGCGGUGAAAUGCGCAGAGAUAUGGAGGAACACCAGUGGCGAAGGCGACUUUCUGGUCUGUAACUGACGCUGAUGUGCGAAAGCGUGGGGAUCAAACAGG
rnacentral:rRNA from 1 species